GGUCGGCACCCGAGCUACCCGGCCGGGAGCGGGGGCCGGCCGGGGCCCGUCCCCUCCGCCGCGAACACGCUUAGUAGUUUGUUCUGAUUUUCAAAGCCGGAGGGACCGAGCUCUUGUUUCGGGAGUUGUUGGCAAGCCGUGUUAGGAGCGUGCGAUACUUUGCUUCCACUUUUUUUUUUGUCCUGUAACCUUUGUUAACCAUUCUAGUCCCAGGGUCUGAAUUGCUUGUGUGUACUCUCACACAAGCACGCACACGGCUGAUAACUCUGUCGAGAUUCUUCUGCGCUCACUUGUGAAAGUUGCUCUGUGAGUGGAGCCUAUUAGUUUUGAUCACACGCCUUUAGAAAGCACGCUAAUUGAUUUCAGGUUAGGUAGAGGAACGUCUUCUCUCAGUGCGGGUUGCGGCCUUUGGUAAGAGCAUGUCGUCCAUCUUGCCAUUCACUCCACCGGUUGUGAAAAGGCUGCUGGGAUGGAAGAAAUCAGCUGGUGGGUCUGGAGGAGCAGGCGGAGGAGAGCAGAACGGACAAGAAGAAAAGUGGUGUGAGAAAGCAGUUAAAAGUUUGGUGAAGAAGCUAAAGAAAACAGGACGAUUAGAUGAGCUUGAGAAAGCCAUCACCACUCAAAAUUGUAAUACUAAAUGUGUCACCAUACCAAGGUAAGUGUCGAUAGAGCAGGACUUCUGUGGUCAUUCUGUUGAAAAUUGCUUAAAGGAAGCCAAAGGAAAGUUACUGAAAUUUUUACUGUCAAGUCACCUGUAAAUAGUGAUUAUUAAAACAUAUGACCACUCUUUUUAAA